rnacentral:rRNA from 1 species
GACGAACGCUGGCGGCGUGCCUAAUACAUGCAAGUCGAACGCUUCUUUCCUCCCGAGUGCUUGCCCUCAAUUGGAAAGAGGAGUGGCGGACGGGUGAGUAACACGUCGGUAACCUACCCAUCAGAGGGGGAUAACACUUGGAAACAGGUGCUAAUACCGCAUAACAGUUUAUGCCGCAUGGCAUAAGAGUGAAAGGCGCUUUCGGGUGUCGCUGAUGGAUGGACCCGCGGUGCAUUAGCUAGUUGGUGAGGUAACGGCUCACCAAGGCCACGAUGCAUAGCCGACCUGAGAGGGUGAUCGGCCACACUGGAACUGAGACACGGCCCAGACUCCUACGGGAGGCAGCAGUAGGGAAUCUUCGGCAAUGGACGAAAGUCUGACCGAGCAACGCCGCGUGAGUGAAGAAGGUUUUCGGAUCGUAAAACUCUGUUGUUAGAGAAGAACAAGGACGUUAGUAACUGAACGUCCCCUGACGGUAUCUAACCAGAAAGCCACGGCUAACUACGUG